GUACGAGUGGGAGUACUCUUGUCUCUACAGCAGGACGUUUUACUGUGGACACGCAGCCUGCCAACUUCAAUUGAUUCUUUAUUUCACCCAGGAGCUCUGGCCCUAGAAAGGGCCUCUAGUUGGUAACUCUAACAGAGGCAGAGAAUUCAGGAAGAGCGCGAAUGUGCCAGCCACCUGCACCAGAACAGAGCUGAGACAAAAAAUAAUUCGACAGGAGCAGGU